ensembl:lncRNA
CCGGUGGAACCGCAGAGCGAAACGCUUUCAGAAUUCUGCGCAUUGUAAACCUGUGUAAUUGAAUACCACCGGUAUUAACGGAGAACGCGAGAGGAACAAGAUAGAGACAACGGAAGAAACGAAGAGUCUCCCCUCUGUCUCCCCCUCUCCGGGUGAUGACGGAGGUGUCCCCUCGUCAGAAACACAAGGGCUAUGUUGACAGCGCGGGACUGGAGGAGAUAAAGAGAAAGAGAGAGCAAGAGAGUUAACCAUCUGUGAAUCACAUCAAGGCAGCUGUGGUCAGAGUGGACUGCAGUUCAUCUCAAUCGAGAGGCGGAGAGGGGGGACAGAAUAAAGAAGAGGAGAGAGAGAAGGAGUGGGUGCCUUGGUGAGUUUCCAUGCCCAGGACAGUGAACCCUGGUUGGGGGGACUUUCAGGCGACAGUGGGGUUGGACAAGGCCCCUGUAGUUCCUGUAGAAAGAUGAGGAACUCUGAAAAGACAAUGUUUUUGCUGAGUGACUGAGCUAGCGAAAGAAAGUCUGACUUAAGGAUUCCGGGAUUACAGCAUGGAUUGACAUUUAUUUCUGCUCAAUGAAG